AUAUACAAUAAAGGUAAAUAGGAUUUACUUAGGCUUUCUUUCCAAAAUCAAAUUUUUGAUCGAAACAUUUUAAUCGUUUUUAAUAAUGUGGACUAUUCCAUAAAUUACAAUCAGGCCAUUUCGAAGCAAGUUUUAAAAUAUUAUUGUACUCCAAUUAAUUCAAAACGAUUUCAAAUUGAUUAGAUUAUACCGAUUCUAUUGUUUUCUCUAUUAGGACUAGCGAUGAAACC